AUUUGACCUAAAUCAGGUGGGACUACCGCUUGGACUUAAGCAUAUCAAUAAGCGGGGGGAGGGGC
rnacentral:rRNA from 1 species